ACUCCAUAUCUGUAUAUAUAGUGUGUAUAUAUAUGUGUGUGUGUGGCUGUGUGUAUAUUAGUGUACGUAAGUACUCCGUACCUGCUUUACA
rnacentral:miRNA from 1 species